AUUGAACGCUGGCGGCAGGCCUAACACAUGCAAGUCGAGCGAGCGGCGGACGGGUGAGUAAUGUAUGGGGACUGCCCGAUAGAGGGGGAUAACUACUGGAAACGGUGGCUAAUACCGCAUACUAUCGGAUAACCCAUAUGGGAUUAGCUAGUAGGUGGGGUAAAGGCACACCUAGGCGACGAUCGCUAGCUGGUCUGCGGGGAUGAACAGCCACACUGGGACGGAGACACGGCCCAGACUCCUACGGAGUCAGCAGUGGGGAAUAUUGCGCAAUGGGCGCAAGCCUGAUGCAGCCAUGCCUCGUGUAUGAAGAAGGUCUUCGGGUUGUAAAGUACUUUCAGCGAGGAGGCGUUACUCGCAGAAGAAGCACCGGCUAACUCCGUGCCAGCAGCCGCGGUAAUAC
rnacentral:rRNA from 1 species